rfam:Marine metagenome 1096626097201, whole genome shotgun sequence.
GGGAUUAGGAGGACCACUGACAGUGUACGACACUGAGGAAAGUCCCCUCUGCACAGGUGCAGGUGGCCCGUCGCAAGGCGGGUGUCCGGGAGGGCAGGCUCUGUAGAAGAAACGAAUCGGCUCGGGCGCACGAUGAAUCCGAAAGGAGGAGAUUUCCCGAUGCUGACUGAGACGAACAACCCCACCGCAGCAAGUCCAAACAGUUCUGUUGAUGGCACCGAUAGGAACGGGUAGGAUGCAAAGUUGAAUGUGGUCAACCAGCAAUGGUGAACAGAAAGGGGCUUACUCCCUAAUCCC